rnacentral:rRNA from 1 species
GACGAACGCUGGCGGCGUGCUUAACACAUGCAAGUCGAACGGAAAGGCCCUGCUUUUGUGGGGUGCUCGAGUGGCGAACGGGUGAGUAACACGUGAGUAACCUGCCCUUGACUUUGGGAUACCUUAAGGAAACUGGGGCUAAUACCGGAUAGGAGCUCCUGCUGCUGGGUGGGGGUGGGAAAGUUUCGGCGGUUGGGGAUGGACUGGCGGCUUAUCAGCUUGUUGGUGGGGUAGUGGCUUACCAAGGCUUUGACGGGUAGCCGGCCUGAGAGGGUGACCGGCCACAUUGGGACUGAGAUACGGCCCAGACUCCUACGGGAGGCAGCAGUGGGGAAUAUUGCACAAUGGGCGGAAGCCUGAUGCAGCGACGCCGCGUGCGGGAUGACGGCCUUCGGGUUGUAAACCGCUUUCGCCUGUGACGAAGCGUGAGUGACGGUAAUGGGUAAAGAAGCACCGGCUAACUACGUG